AACGAACGCUGGCGGCAGGCUUAACACAUGCAAGUCGAGCGCCCCGCAAGGGGAGCGGCAGACGGGUGAGUAACGCGUGGGAACAUACCCUUUCCUGCGGAAUAGCCCCGGGAAACUGGAAUUAAUACCGCAUACGCCCUACGGGGGAAAGAUUUAUCGGGGAAGGAUUGGCCCGCGUUGGAUUAGCUAGUUGGUGGGGUAAAGGCCUACCAAGGCGACGAUCCAUAGCUGGUCUGAGAGGAUGAUCAGCCACAUUGGGACUGAGACACGGCCCAAACUCCUACGGGAGGCAGCAGUGGGGAAUAUUGGACAAUGGGCGCAAGCCUGAUCCAGCCAUGCCGCGUGAGUGAUGAAGGCCUUAGGGUUGUAAAGCUCUUUCACCGGAGAAGAUAAUGACGGUAUCCGGAGAAGAAGCCCCGGCUAACUUCGUGCCAGCAGCCGCCGUAA
rnacentral:rRNA from 1 species